rnacentral:rRNA from 1 species
UACGAAGGGGGCUAGCGUUGCUCGGAAUCACUGGGCAUAAAGGGUGCGUAGGCGGGUCUUUAAGUCAGGGGUGAAAUCCUGGAGCUCAACUCCAGAACUGCCUUUGAUACUGAGGAUCUUGAGUUCGGGAGAGGUGAGUGGAACUGCGAGUGUAGAGGUGAAAUUCGUAGAUAUUCGCAAGAACACCAGUGGCGAAGGCGGCUCACUGGCCCGUUACUGACGCUGAGGCACGAAAGCGUGGGGGAGCAAACAGG